rnacentral:rRNA from 1 species
UACGAAGGGGGCUAGCGUUGUUCGGAAUUACUGGGCGUAAAGCGCGCGCAGGCGGUUCUUCAAGUCAGGGGUGAAAUCCCAGAGCUCAACUCUGGAACUGCCUUUGAUACUGGCAAGCUAGAGUCCGGAAGAGGUAAGUGGAACUCCUAGUGUAGAGGUGGAAUUCGUAGAUAUUAGGAAGAACACCAGUGGCGAAGGCGGCUUACUGGUCCGGAACUGACGCUGAGGUGCGAAAGCGUGGGGAGCAAACAGG